rnacentral:lncRNA from 1 species
CAGGGUAUAGGGCUAUAGGGCAGAGAUAUGGGGCAGGAUAUGGGGCUAUGGGGCUGAGCUAUGGGGCUCUAUGGGGCAGGGUAUGGGGCUAUAGGGCUGAGCUAUGGGGCUGCUUUAUAGGGCUCUAUGGGGGCUAUGGGGCUGCCCUAUAGGGGGGCUAUGGGGCAGGGUUAUAGGGCUAUAGGGCAGAGAUAUGGGGCAGGAUAAUGGGCAUGGGCUUGAGCUAUGGGCUCUAAUGGGGCAGAGGUGAUGAGGGGCUAU